AGGGCGCCGCGAUGGAUGAAUGAGCUGUUUCCAGCAUUCCUGCUUCAACUCAAAAUUUUCCUUCAUGGCACAGUGGAAAGCUUUGAAGACGGCGGUUCUGGGGACAUAACUGGAAUAUCAGUGAAGUUCUUUGAGCAUCGCUGAAUAUGAAGGCAACUCGGACUAAGAAGACGACUGCUUUCCAACUGCCCUCCCGUCCUGCAGCCGCCUGAUUUGAGGAAGGGGCUGGGAUCCUUCCCCUUGCCCUCUGGUUGUUCUUGGAGUUACAGCAGCCCCGCGGCAGCUCUGCCC
rnacentral:lncRNA from 1 species